GCUUCUAUCAUCAACUCUUCUCUUUCCUAUUGAGAGAGAUUUGAAAUUUAUAAUUCACACCAAUCAUUGGUUUCUUUUUUGUGAUAUUAUGUAUAUUUGAAACCUGUGUUAAUUAAUGUGCUCAACAUAGUAAAGUUAUAUGUUGGGUUUUCCAAUGUUAGUACAAAAUCUCUUAGACUUAUAUAAAAUGAAACAAUGAUUAAUUUGUUUAUAUAUAUCUGAGGUGUUAGUUUUAUGCUCAUCUAACUAAGUGCUUGAAAAAAAAUUUAAGUUCUCAAUUUCAUUCCGUGAUGAUGCAACUUUACUGUGUUUCUAGUGGUUUAGUAUCCUAGCUGUAUACUUGGUUCAUUAUAUAAAUAUAUUCACUUUUUCAGAGAGAUGAUCUAUCUUAAUGAAGAAAAAUCUUGAUUGGUUAUAUGGUGUCACAUCUGGUGGUCUACAACGCAAUAUUGAAACAGCCUCCAUAGGUGCUACUUCAAUCUUCAUAUGAAUGUAGCCCAUUAAUUAUUAGGUCCGUGUUUCAGCACUUCCAUUAGUAUUUUCAUUCCUAUCUUGCUAGUCUUAUAUACAUGUUUCCUCAUCAACCAACACUUGCUGCCACAUGUUUGAGCUAACAGAGUGACAAUUUUGUAAACCUCCCCCUUCCACUUAGGUGGUAUUUAAGAUCAGUGAAGACUCAUUGCACUUCAAACGUCUUGCUUUAAGGCUAUAUUUGACCUGCUCACUUUUAACCAUCCCUUUGUCUAAUACUGUUUAAGAAUAUGACGUAUGUGAUUUGUGGAAUCUCUCAUUUUCGAAGCCAACCCCACUUUGAUCACUUCCCCACUUUGUAAACCUCCCCCUUCCACUCAGAUUGCUUUUCCCAAAUGAGCUGAUUCUUAUCCACUAAAUCAUAGCAGAAGUUAUUGAUAUGAUUCAUGGAGACUUUCUAUAGCUAGGAUCAGGUACAUGACAAAGGUUGAGAAUGUUGUUUAGGAAGAAAUUCUCUUUUCUAAUUAAGAGUAUAGACUGAUGUCAACUUGUUCAGGAGUUGGGAAAGGAGCAGCAUUAUCAAAGAACCUUUUGUUUAUAUAAUUGAGCAUCUUUAUUGAGAGAAGUAUGGGCAUGAUUCCUUCAGUUAAUGCAGCUGGGUAUUAGCAAUAAUAACAAUGAGCAAAGAUGCUAUAUGGAUUUAUAUUUUGCAAAUAAAAUCCAUUUGUUUCCUACAGAAGCAGCUUGAAUUUAAUAUAGCAACCGGUAAUGGAGGAAUAAGGGAUUCUCUAGGAUAAAAAAGCUAUUUUCUGGCUUGGAGCUGUAGCAUUUUGGAGGCCAUAAUCAAAGAAGCAAAAUAUUGCCUGGAAUUUGUUACAGCAUCUCCUUAGGAAGUAUACAGGCACAGAUAAAGUUGAUGAACAACCACACUGAUCUUUGACGCUUUCAAUAUGUGGAUGACUGUAAAAAGCAGUAUGGUGGCUCUAUUGCUGGUAUUACUUGCCGGUGAAUUAGCGGUGAAAAUCAUGGUCGGGAUGUCCAGUGCAUGUUUUCCAGGGACACUUCAGUAAUGACGCUUAAGAGGCAAAUCUGAGUUUUUGCUGGGUGGAAAAAAACAAAAAAAUGAAAGGAACUAACUUAGGCACUAAUAUCAUGGCAACUAAUCAAGACUGUUUAGCAAGGUUGCAAGUGUCUCCUACUAGGGUCUGAUCGCCAACUCUAGAACUGAUUUGAAAAAAAAAAAAAAAAAGA